rnacentral:piRNA from 1 species
UCCAUGGACCUUCUGUGUGGCCACACUGU